rnacentral:rRNA from 1 species
UACGUAGGGUGCGAGCGUUGUCCGGAAUUACUGGGCGUAAAGAGCUCGUAGGUGGUUUGUCGCGUUGUUCGUGAAAACUCACAGCUUAACUGUGGGCGUGCGGGCGAUACGGGCAGACUGGAGUACUGCAGGGGAGACUGGAAUUCCUGGUGUAGCGGUGGAAUGCGCAGAUAUCAGGAGGAACACCGGUGGCGAAGGCGGGUCUCUGGGCCGUUACUGACGCUGAGGAGCGAAAGCGUGGGGAGCGAACAGG